rnacentral:rRNA from 1 species
UGGGGAAUAUUGCACAAUGGGGGAAACCCUGAUGCAGCAACGCCGCGUGAAGGAUGACGGUUUUCGGAUUGUAAACUUCUUUUCUUAGUGACGAAGACAGUGACGGUAGCUAAGGAAUAAGCAUCGGCUAACUACGUGCCAGCAGCCGCGGUAAUACGUAGGAUGCAAGCGUUAUCCGGAUUUACUGGGUGUAAAGGGAGCGCAGGCGGGACUGCAAGUUGGAUGUGAAAUACCGUGGCUUAACCACGGAACUGCAUCCAAAACUGUAGUUCUUGAGUGAAGUAGAGGCAAGCGGAAUUCCGAGUGUAGCGGUGAAAUGCGUAGAUAUUCGGAGGAACACCAGUGGCUAAGGCGGCUUGCUGGGCUUUAACUGACGCUGAGGCUCGAAAGUGUGGGGAGCAAACA